ensembl:ncRNA F58E6.17 ncRNA
AAGUGCCGUCGAUGUCGUCGGACAGUCGGGUGGGCAUCUUGCAUUCUCGGUCGAGAAACUCGUUUUGCGCAGUCUGUAUGUCUAUCUCUCUUCUU